rnacentral:rRNA from 1 species
AGCGAACGCUGGCGGAAUGCUUAACACAUGCAAGUCGCACGCCCUGCAAGGGGAGUGGCGGACGGGUGAGUAACGCGUAGGAAUAUGUCCAGAGGUGGGGGACAACCCUGGGAAACUGGGGCUAAUACCGCAUAGGGGCUGAGGCCCAAAGCAGUGAUGCGCCUUUGGAGUAGCCUGCGUCCGAUUAGCUUGUUGGUGGGGUAAAGGCUUACCAAGGCGACGAUCGGUAGCUGGUCUGAGAGGACGACCAGCCACACUGGGACUGAGACACGGCCCAGACUCCUACGGGAGGCAGCAGUGGGGAAUAUUGGACAAUGGGCGCAAGCCUGAUCCAGCAAUUCCGCGUGGGUGAAGAAGGUCUUCGGAUUGUAAAGCCCUUUCGACGGGGACGAUGAUGACGGUACCCGUAGAAGAAGCCCCGGCUAACUUCGUGCCAGCCGCCGCCGUAACAC